rnacentral:rRNA from 1 species
UACGUAGGGGGCAAGCGUUAUCCGGAAUCAUUGGGCGUAAAGAGCGUGUAGGCGGCUUGGUAAGUCCGCUGUGAAAGUCCAGGGCUCAACCCUGGAAUGCCGGUGGAAACUGCCAAGCUCGAGUCCGGAAGAGGCGAGUGGAAUUCCUGGUGUAGCGGUGAAAUGCGCAGAUAUCAGGAGGAACACCAAUGGCGAAGGCAGCUCGCUGGGACGGUACUGACGCUGAGACGCGAAAGCGUGGGGAGCAAACAGG